GAUGAACGCUGGCGGCGUGCCUAAUACAUGCAAGUCGAGCGAACGGACGAGAAGCUUGCUUCUCUGAUGUUAGCGGCGGACGGGUGAGUAACACGUGGAUAACCUACCUAUAAGACUGGGAUAACUUCGGGAAACCGGAGCUAAUACCGGAUAAUAUUUUGAACCGCAUGGUUCAAAAGUGAAAGACGGUCUUGCUGUCACUUAUAGAUGGAUCCGCGCUGCAUUAGCUAGUUGGUAAGGUAACGGCUUACCAAGGCAACGAUGCAUAGCCGACCUGAGAGGGUGAUCGGCCACACUGGAACUGAGACACGGUCCAGACUCCUACGGGAGGCAGCAGUAGGGAAUCUUCCGCAAUGGGCGAAAGCCUGACGGAGCAACGCCGCGUGAGUGAUGAAGGUCUUCGGAUCGUAAAACUCUGUUAUUAGGGAAGAACAUAUGUGUAAGUAACUGUGCACAUCUUGACGGUACCUAAUCAGAAAGCCACGGCUAACUACAU
rnacentral:rRNA from 1 species